GCACCCAAUUUAUUGCUGUUAUAGGUUUUGAUCGAGCUUAGCCUUGUUCAUUUUUUUACACAACAACCAUGUAAAAAAUCAAACACACCCCGCUGAGCACCGCGCCACUCCCGGCGUCGCCGCCGCUUACAGCGCCCUGAAACGCCCUAAAAAUGGCCACCAAGCCCCGUUUUAGGGCAG
rnacentral:sRNA from 2 species